CUACGGGUUGCUGCAGUGGGGAAUAUUGCACAAUGGGCGCAAGCCUGAUGCAGCCAUGCCGCGUGUAUGAAGAAGGCCUUCGGGUUGUAAAGUACUUUCAGCGGGGAGGAAGGGAGUAAAGUUAAUACCUUUGCUCAUUGACGUUACCCGCAGAAGAAGCACCGGCUAACUCCGUGCCAGCAGCCGCGGUAAUACGGAGGGUGCAAGCGUUAAUCGGAAUUACUGGGCGUAAAGCGCACGCAGGCGGUUUGUUAAGUCCGAUGUGAAAUCCCCGGGCUCAACCUGGGAACUGCAUCUGAUACUGGCAAGCUUGAGUCUCGUAGAGGGGGGUAGAAUUCCAGGUGUAGCGGUGAUAUGCGUAGAGAUCUGGAGGAAUACCGGUGGCGAAGGCGGCCCCCUGGACGAAGACUGACGCUCAGGUGCGAAAGCGUGGGGAGCAAACAGGAUUAGAUACCCGUGUAGUC
rnacentral:rRNA from 1 species